rnacentral:lncRNA from 1 species
UGGAGUUUUUGCAGAUUUUCAAAUAAAACUCAGAGAUUCCUUGUAUGACUCUCUCAAAUCUCUCUUUUGUGGUAUUUCUGGAUCCUUACCAAGGCAGUAAUGGUAUAUGCCUUCUCUCAAAGUAUGUGGUAUUUUUGGUAUGAGGCAUAGUGAUAUUGCCUUCUCUCUCACCCUACUCUAAUAAUGUUUUGAGAUCUGGAGCUCAUAGGUGGGAGACAGAUAAUACAUACUUACAAGACAUUUAUUGCAUAGUCAAACCAUGGAUCUAGAAGAACAAGUCAAUAAGUCAAAUCUAGAUGUGCAUGUGUGGCGAGUGAAUGGUGUAUGGUGAUGAUGGUGAUAACAAUGGUGAAAAUCUAAUUCUACUUUUGCUCUUUUUAGGAGAUAUAUACCUUUCUUGCACUUUGAAGCCUUUUUUUGAGGAGAAUGAGAUGCUCUAUAUUUUUUUUCUUUUCUCUCAUGUGGGUAUUUUUUACCCCUAAUUCUACUGUCGGACACUUGUCCAUUUUUACCUCUCGUCUCAAUUUCUCUUUUCUUUCGAGGUUCCGGGCACUUGCCCCUUUUUAUUUCCUCGUAUCUUUUUUUAGAGCACUCAUCUCAUGAGAUAAUAUAGCAAGUGGUAGUAACCAAGAUAACUCGAGCAUUUAUUUCACAGGGGAAAGAAACAGAAAUAUUUUUGGCUAUUCUCUCCCGGAUUAGGAGUAGAAUAUUUUUGGGUAGUUCUGAAGAUGAAAAUGAGUGGAUAUAUGUGGAUGCGUACUUCCGGAGUAGAAACCAGCAUAUGUGAGUGAACGUGCAA